rnacentral:rRNA from 1 species
GAUGAACGCUGGCGGCGUGCCUAAUACAUGCAAGUCGAGCGAACAGACGAGGAGCUUGCUCCUCUGACGUUAGCGGCGGACGGGUGAGUAACACGUGGAUAACCUACCUAUAAGACUGGGAUAACUUCGGGAAACCGGAGCUAAUACCGGAUAAUAUAUUGAACCGCAUGGUUCAAUAGUGAAAGACGGUUUUGCUGUCACUUAUAGAUGGAUCCGCGCCGCAUUAGCUAGUUGGUAAGGUAACGGCUUACCAAGGCAACGAUGCGUAGCCGACCUGAGAGGGGGGACCGCCACAAUGGAACCUAGGACCGGUCCCGAACGCCAAGGGAGGGCGGAGUUGGGGAACUUUCGGAAUGGGCGAAAGCUUGACGGAGCAACGCCGCGUGAGUGAUGAAGGUCUUCGGAUCGUAAAACUCUGUUAUUAGGGAAGAACAAAUGUGUAAGUAACUAUGCACGUCUUGACGGUACCUAAUCAGAAAGCCACGGCUAACUACGUG